UUCAGCAGGCUAUAACGAAGUCCACGUCAGCAAAAAUCUGAGCUGGAGAAAGGAGAGAGAAGGAGCGGGCUCUUCGUGAGUCGCCGGGCUAAGACACAGAACUCGAGAACUUUCCGCCCGCUUGCAGCCUGAUGCGAGCGCUAGCGCCGCCGCUUUCGAUCCCCUGCGUCUCCCUUGCCUCGUGCGCUUGUUCUUCCAGCUCUGCGCGCGAAAUCAAUCCUUGCCUCACUCCAAAUUGCUUGAUGCGCGCCAAAUCGCCUCCAGCUUCCCCGAAAUCGCCACCGCUCCCGAACCCUAGAACAGCCGGCGGCGCCGCAUCAACGAGAUGGUCAGCACUCAGCAGUCCAAAAGGACGGGUGCACCGGCACUCGCCCCGUCGUCGCUGCCUCAGUUCGUUCCGCCGUUGAUGCAUCAUCUCGUCCGGCCGUCGGCGCCACAGCUAAUCCUGCCAUCGGCGCUGCACCUCGUCCCGCCGCUGGCACCUCACCUUGUCCCACCACCACGCCAGCCCACCAAAGGCAGCGGCGGCCUCUACACCAUGCUGGCUCCCCCAGACGCAAGGCCCCUUGUGGUACAGGGAUAUUGACAAUUUGACUCCAGAAGCAUGGGGAGUGGAUUCUCACCCACCUGGUGGGUUCCUUGGUUUAUUUAACAACACGCCAAGCCUUUCACAAUCUUGAGGCUCGGAAGCUUCCAUGCCUUGCAGCAAAAGAUCACAAGGAGUCAGUCAUGCUAGAAACAUACCGCUCGUUGAUGAUGCAAGACACAACUAGGAUGUCUGAAGAUGUGAGAUGUGAGGACGUGUUGGCAUUGAAGUGUUUCCGGGAGAAGCUAUUUGGCAAAACUGACUAAGUGGCUGGAGAUUAUUGAUGCAGAUGGAUUCGUCGCUCUUUUCUAUUGAAAUUCCAACUUAUCAUCGUCAAGAUCAAAACUAAUGGCUUGUUUGCAUUGUCUCUUGUUUGCUUAAUGUUCUCUUAAAAAGACUGGUGUGAUGUUUAAGUGUCAAUGUCAUGGUGUUAUGUGCCAUCAGUUUGUUCGUUAUGAUUAAAACUAACGGCUUGUUUGCCGGGCGUCUUAUUUAGUUCUAUGUUUGGUUAAUGCUUCCUUGGGAAGACUCAAGCAAUGUUCAAGUGUGGUGUCAUGGUGCUAUCUGCUAUGCACACCUGUUUGUUGAUUGUUUA